GUCGGCUGGAGGGGGGCAGGGGGCUGUGCAGGAUUUUGGGAAGGGAGGGGGUCGAUCUUGUUUCUAGGCGCCCAGAGUCCCCUUCUUCGUGAACUGAGAGGGGCUGGGUGUUGAAGGUGCUGCAGCUUUUGGGGGCAACAAGGAACAAAACGAGAUGGACACAGACCAGCCUGGUGGAUUCUCGUUAAUGUGACGUCCCUGAGCCAAGUGAUCCGGCGAGAUCUUUCCAAGGGGAAGAUGCUUCUCAUUCCAGAUCCUCGCGACGCUUGUUUCUGGGUCGGUCUGGAAGACUUGUGAUUUUGUUGUUUCCGGUGUCAGGGAAGCGAACAACAAAUCCCAGUCUCCUCACAGCCCCAGGACUGGCCUCCAAGAAUCCAUCCAUGGUACCUUCCCUGGGACCCAGCAGCAUGAGGAGAGGUGAAUCUAUACUGUUCUUCUUUUAGCAGUAGGAAAACACACAGCCUGUGAACUGAUCGCCACAGGGAUUCAGCCAACGAUUGGAUAUUUAUAGGACUAACCAGAACUGCCCGAGUUAUAAUAGCAGGGGUUAAAAAAAAAACCAAAGCAACUUAGAAGGGCAAUAAACUGUCCCGCUUCAGGCCACGAAUCAACUUCUAACCAAUACGGUUAGGAAGGGACUUUCCUGGGGUGGCGAUCAGCCUACCACUGCAGGGUUCUCUGAAGCCUCUGGUGCUGACCAUGGCUGGAGACAGGCUAGGUGGAUCCUGGGUCUGAUUCAGCAAUUCCUAUGACUUUCAGCACAGAUCUAAGCUGGCCAACUGUGAAGUCCAUGCAGGGGAAGCCACAUGGUGCAGGGAGAUGGGAAUGGCCUACAGAGCCUUUACAUCAGGAACCCAGCAGCCACUGCCCCAGCUACACUCUGACAAAAGGAUGUAGGAUACCCUCAUCGGACUAACGGAGAUGGACUCGCCUGGAAUGGUUUAAUAGAAACGAAGGAAUCAGGGAAAGCUCAGGAUCACUCACCAUCCCACACCCCCCAUAAGAGAGCUGACUUGAUACAUGUCCACCACCAAAUAUGAAGCCGAGGGCAAGUGCCUGUGCUAACUUCCGAACAGCUGAAGGCCAAGUCAACAGUCUGUGAUCAAUCACAACACAGCCCAGUGGGUUGCUUUGCGAUCCUGAGGUUAAACAUCUGUGUAUGGAACUGACCAAGCACCUGUACUCUUCAAGAUCGCCCCAGCCCCGGAGGAAGCUAGACAAGAGAGGCACUCGUUGGGUGGUGGUUCAGCUUCCUACCAGGAGUUCUGACCCACAGCCUAUUGAAGUCAGUGGAAAGAGUGCCACUGGCCUUUGGUGAGCUUUGGAUCAGGUCAAUGGAGAGAAGUGGUCAAAUGAAACAUGAGGUAACCCUGCUAGAGAGGAGAUGCUAACAAGUCGUACACACUCUCAAAGCUCUAAGUACAUGGGAGGUUUCUAACAAGUCACCCCUAGCAUCUGACAUUAGUCAAGUUGCCAGCAGGGGUUUCCUGGUGCAUCUCAGCCAGCAUCAGAAAGCUUCAUGCCACAACUAGAGCAAGGGUGCCCACAAAGGCAGGCCGACGGUCUGCACCAUCUGCAGGAUAAGGGCAGGGGGAAAAAAUCUGAUCAACGGCAGGUCACUCAAGGGCCACAGGGUCCCAAAGGGUAAAUGCAGCCAUCCAGGAAAAUACGUGGAGCAAGGGGAGACAGAUGGUUGAGUUCAUUUCUUUUCAGUAAGAGUGGUAUGCAAAUUUAGAUGCAAAUGACAUAGCUGUAUUGGCUCCUGGGAAGCUACCUCGCUGGUCCUCAGGAGGGUGGACUCACUGUGAGGUUUGAGCACCCCUGAAUUAGAGAGCAGAUGUACAAACACAGAAGAACGAGGACUUUCAACAUUUUCCAGUGGAGAGAAAGAUCUUUGUUAAUUUUUUUUCCUCCCCAUUUUGCUUUUACACUUUCAAAAACCAGACAGCAGAGACACAAGAGCCACCACCCCCGUAACGCCACAGUGCGAGAGAACUGUAGUGUCUGGACAGAAAACUGCUUCUCGAAAGUUCCCCUUGGCAGGCAGGGGACACUACUUCCAAAACUUGGGUUGAAAACAAUAAAAUAAAAUACGAG